AGGUUCACAUUGUUUUUCUGGAUUCUUCCGUUAGGAGUUCAGAGGCUCUCGCUCUCAAACUUCUUGGCAAGGUUCUCGAAGGAGGCAAGCCGGCGGAUUCUUUGAUCUACACCUUUCAUGUAUUCAAUGGCUUCAUAGCGAGACUGACCGAAAGCGAAGCGGGAAAAUUGGGCCGAUUGAAAGGAGUCAUCAGUGUGGCUUUGGAUGAUGGAUCUUACCAUCUUCAACCCGUGGGCGCAUUUGCACCUGAAGGAAGCUAGCCUCGCCCAUGGCAUUGGCAUAGAGAUGUGUAAUAAGGAGCAUGGAGGAGGUACAAGAUUUGGGUUGUCUUUUAGUUGAUUUAUGAGAGCACUUACGUAGAUAUAGGCCAAUCUCAUGUAUUGCUCACUGUUAGUUUCCACGUGACAGUAUGCGCAAUAAUAUUGAACGCCAUUUCAAUUGCAAA